UUCCCCAGCAAAUCCCGCCGUGCGCGGCGAGCGGCGGUGCGGUGCGAGGCGAUGCUGCCUCAGCGGCGCUGCCUCCCGCGGCGGUGCCGCCUCCGGGGCGGGGCGGCGGCCGGGAGCCGCUGACGGAGCCGGGGCGGGAGAAGCGCUCCCUCAGGCCGGGCGGCGGGAGGUUCCUGCGGGCUCCCUGCUCCCGAGGGCCGGGAAUGCUUCCAGGAACGCUCGCAGGAACGCGUGUGCCGCCCUCCCUCACGCGUCAUGUGGCCGUCGCCACUUUGGGGCUGGAAGGGAACUUCAAGACCGCUCGUUCCUGCCAUGGGCGGGUGUGAAAAGUGCAUAUUAUAUGGCUCUACGCAGAUAUUUACUUGAUGACAAAGAAAUCGUGGCCAAAGGUCCCCUCCAUGAAACCAUCCAGCCAGCAAAAUCCCACAAAAAUGCUGAAGGAAUCCUAAAGAACAAUUAUGAAGAGACUGUCAGCACAGGGACAGAAGCAGGACCAGAGCAGGUACAUGUUUGUGUUGGAUGUACCAGGGUUUCACCACAGGCUGAGUCACGGGUGUUCAACGAGGCUGGUUUUAGCUGGCCAGGUGAAGUCCUAACCAAGCACUAGAGUCAGGAGAAGGUGGUAGAGCUUCAGCUGAGCCUGCAGGAGGGUGGCUAAGGGAAGGACAUUCCUGUGAUUCCAGUGACUACAGGAAGUGUUGGGCAGCUGGAGGCACUGGAGUGACCCUGCCCCACACCUGUGCUCACCCAGAGCAGCGAGGUACUGUCUGCGGCAGUGGGACCUCGACUCAGCUCUCUCCUGCUGCUCGGUGAACAUCCCCACAGUUCAGCAGUGCUGCCAAACAUCCCCAACUCCUUUGUUUUCCAUUUCACAUUGAUUCCAUGAUUCACAUCUCUUGGGAGGGGCGAGGAGAGCCACUGGCUUCAGCCCCGUUUCACAUGCACAUCAUGAGGAGCUGGCAGCUCCAGGCAGCACACCCUGUGCUGAAAUAGCUGCCUGAAGCAAAGCAACAGCCUUUGGCCUGCUACAAACACACCGGUGCUCAGGGCAGGAGCAGCAAUCCCUCCAUUCCCCGCCUGGCUGCCCCCUCACUCCAGACCCCUCUGCCACCAGCUGUGCCCAGAGCCGAGGCCUCAAACCCCGGCACGGCAGCGCUCAGGGGCUGAAAGCACAGCACUGUCCUGGAUCUUGACUUCUCCCACAGAGAGCACGAAUUCCAGCUCAGAACCACUCCCCAAAAAUGAGUGAAAUUGCCAAGAGUUGGCAGUGUCUGUUGUGUAGAGUCCCAUGCCCUUGAGCUGAUUCCACUGCACUAGAACAUAGAGAUCCUGAGAGGAAACUUCCCAAGAACAGCCUCCAACCAUGAGGGUUAUCUGUCCCUGGAAACACACAGCACGCUGACAGCCCUGCAGUAAGUUCUAAUUCCACUAAAACUUUCUUGUACUGAUCCUUGACAAAACUUUUGUGGAAAUUUCAUACCCCUCACAGGUAAUAGCGUGGUAAUCCUCAAAAAUCCUUGUGUUUUGGAAGCAUUCCAGCAACUCAGUGUUGUUCUGACUCCUGUGAGGGACAACACAAGCUGGUUUUGUUUCUGGAGAUGUUUCACCUAAUGACUGUUGUAGGGAUGAGACUCAUUUUUUGUUUUUCCACCUUGUGCCACUGUGGAAAAUGCACCAGGAACAGCUGAGCACAUGAAGAAUCCAAUACCUGGACUUGCAAAAAAAAGAGAAAUCUGGAAACUAGUCAAUAAUGGAAAAUUCGAGUUGGAACCACAAUAUACCAGUCUACCUCAUAAAACCUACAAUAUCUGGCUGUCAAAAGAACUGACUACACCAGUGCAGGUCAUAAAAUUAUUGCUCAAGUCUAGGCAAAAACAGUCCCAUGUAGCAAUUGAGAACAGAAGAGGCAGUUGUUUAUUAAUGACAACAGAAACAAAAUAAAAAUGAUAAAGCAAACAGAUACUUCUUUAAAUAUAAAUUUGCUAGUCAUCUGCUGUUCUGCCAGCCUCUUAUUUAUUUUUUUUUCUUUUUUAUUCAGUUACAAAAGAUUCAUCCAGGGCUCAGGAAAACAUGAUACAUAACAUAAAUUUGUCACCUAUGACAACAGCAAACAUCAUGUAACAGAAAAAUACCUCAAAACAUAUUUACAAAUCCAUACUCUGUAGUCAUUGAGAAAUUCCUUACCUAAUGAGUGGCAGAUUAUGCAUGGACACUACAUUCCCAGAGGCAUUCUCCAGUCAGAGUCACUUAGCAUAAAAUCCAACAGACAAAUAGAUUGUCUAUAAAUAAGGCCAGUUUCACUCCUAAUUUAUACAUUUUGAUGACCAGAAUUUUUUGCUAUUACUAUGUUAAUAGAAAAAAAAAA